rnacentral:rRNA from 1 species
GAUGAACGCUGGCGGCGUGCCUAAUACAUGCAAGUCGAGCGAACAGACGAGGAGCUUGCUCCUCUGACGUUAGCGGCGGACGGGUGAGUAACACGUGGAUAACCUACCUAUAAGACUGGGAUAACUUCGGGAAACCGGAGCUAAUACCGGAUAACAUGUUGAACCGCAUGGUUCAACAGUGAAAGACGGUCUUGCUGUCACUUAUAGAUGGAUCCGCGCCGCAUUAGCUAGUUGGUAAGGUAACGGCUUACCAAGGCAACGAUGCGUAGCCGACCUGAGAGGGUGAUCGGCCACACUGGAACUGAGACACGGUCCAGACUCCUACGGGAGGCAGCAGUAGGGAAUCUUCCGCAAUGGGCGAAAGCCUGACGGAGCAACGCCGCGUGAGUGAAGAAGGUCUUCGGAUCGUAAAACUCUGUUAUUAGGGAAGAACAAAUGUGUAAGUAACUAUGCACGUCCUGACGGUACCUAAUCAGAAAGCCACGGCGAACUACGU